rnacentral:rRNA from 1 species
AGGUUAACCGUAUAGGGGAGCCGUAGAGAAAUCGAGUCUUAAUAGGGCGUUUAGUUGCUGGGUAUAGACCCGAAACCAGGCGAUCUAUCCAUGAGCAGGUUGAAGGUUGGGUAACACUAACUGGAGGACCGAACCCACUGUCGUUGAAAAGCCAGGGGAUGACUUGUGGAUAGGGGUGAAAGGCUAAUCAAGCCUGGUGAUAGCUGGUUCUCCCCGAAAGCUAUUUAGGUAGCGCCUCGGACGAAUACCAUAGGGGGUAGAGCACUGUUUCGGCUAGGGGGUCAUCCCGACUUACCAAACCGAUGCAAACUCCGAAUACCUAUGAGUACUAUCCGGGAGACAGACUGCGGGUGCUAACGUCCGUAGUCAAGAGGAAAACAAUCCAGACCGCCAGCUAAGGCCCCAAAAUCAUAGUUAAGUGGGAAACGAUGUGGGAAGGCAUAGACAGCUAGGAGGUUGGCUUAGAAGCAGCCACCCUUUAAAGAAAGCGUAAUAGCUCACUAGUCGAGUCGGCCUGCGCGGAAGAUGUAACGGGGCUAAAACUAUGUGCCGAAGCUGCGGAUUUGACAUUAGUCAAGUGGUAGGGGAGCGUUCUGUAAGCCGAUGAAGGUGUAUUGAGAAGUAUGCUGGAGGUAUCAGAAGUGCGAAUGCUGACGUGAGUAACGACAAAACGGGUGAAAAACCCGUUCGCCGAAAGACCAAGGGUUCCAGUCCAACGUUAAUCGGGGCUGGGUGAGUCGACCCCUAAGGCGAGGCCGAAAGGCGUAGUCGAUGGGAAAAUGGUUAAUAUUCCAUUACUUCUGUGUAAUGCGAUGAGAGGACGGAGAAGGCUAAAUCAGCCUGGCGUUGGUUGUCCAGGUGAAAGGAUGUAGGCAUGUAUCUUAGGCAAAUCCGGGGUACUCUAUGCUGAGAUCUGAUAGCAAGCUGUACUUGUACAGCGAAGUGGUUGAUGCCAUGCUUCCAGGAAAAGUCUCUAAGCUUCAGUUACACAGGAAUCGUACCCGAAACCGACACAGGUGGUCAGGUCGAGUAGACCAAGGCGCUUGAGAGAACUCUGCUGAAGGAACUAGGCAAAAUGGUACCGUAACUUCGGGAGAAGGUACGCUGUUGUUGGUGAUGGAACUCGCUUCCUGAGCUGACGACAGCCGCAGAAACCAGGCCGCUGCAACUGUUUAUUAAAAACAUAGCACUCUGCAAACACGAAAGUGGACGUAUAGGGUGUGAUGCCUGCCCGGUGCUGGAAGGUUAAUUGAUGGGGUUAGCGUAAGCGAAGCUCUUGAUCGAAGCCCCAGUAAACGGCGGCCGUAACUAUAACGGUCCUAAGGUAGCGAAAUUCCUUGUCGGGUAAGUUCCGACCUGCACGAAUGGCAUAAUGAUGGCGGCGCUGUCUCCAGCAGAGGCUCAGUGAAAUCGAAAUCGCUGUGAAGAUGCAGUGUACCCGCGGCUAGACGGAAAGACCCCGUGAACCUUUACUGCAGCUUGACACUGAACUUUGACCUUACUUGUGUAGGAUAGGUGGGAGGCUUUGAAGCUGGAACGCUAGUUCCAGUGGAGCCGUCCUUGAAAUACCACCCUGGUAAUGUUGAGGUUCUAACUCUGUCCCGUGAUCCGGGACGAGGACCGUGUCUGGUGGGUAGUUUGACUGGGGCGGUCUCCUCCUAAAGAGUAACGGAGGAGUACGAAGGUGCGCUCAGCGUGGUCGGAAAUCACGCGUAGAGUAUAAAGGCAAAAGCGCGCUUAACUGCGAGACCCACAAGUCGAGCAGGUACGAAAGUAGGUCUUAGUGAUCCGGUGGUUCUGUAUGGAAGGGCCAUCGCUCAACGGAUAAAAGGUACUCUGGGGAUAACAGGCUGAUACCGCCCAAGAGUUCAUAUCGACGGCGGUGUUUGGCACCUCGAUGUCGGCUCAUCUCAUCCUGGGGCUGAAGCAGGUCCCAAGGGUAUGGCUGUUCGCCAUUUAAAGAGGUACGCGAGCUGGGUUUAGAACGUCGUGAGACAGUUCGGUCCCUAUCUACCGUGGGCGCUGGAAAUUUGAGAGGAUCUGCUCCUAGUACGAGAGGACCAGAGUGGACGAACCUCUGGUGUACCGGUUGUGACGCCAGUCGCAUCGCCGGGUAGCUAUGUUCGGAAGGGAUAACCGCUGAAAGCAUCUAAGCGGGAAGCCUACCUCAAGAUAAGAUUUCCCUAGGACUUUAUGUCCUCUAAAGAGCCGUUCGAGACUAGGACGUUGAUAGGUUGGAUGUGGAAGCAUAGUGAUAUGUGAAGCUGACCAAUACUAAUUGCUCGUGAGGCUUGACUAU